UACGAGGGGGGGCAAGCGUUGUUCGGAAUCACUGGGCUUAAAGGGCGCGUAGGCGGGCUGCCAAGUUUGGGGUGAAAUCCUCCGGCUCAACCGGAGCAGUGCCUCGAAUACUGGCGGUCUCGAGGGAGGUAGGGGCGUGCGGAACUGUGGGUGGAGCGGUGAAAUGCGUUGAUAUCCACAGGAACUCCGGUGGCGAAGGCGGCACGCUGGACCUUUUCUGACGCUGAGGCGCGAAAGCCAGGGGAGCGAACGGG
rnacentral:rRNA from 1 species